rnacentral:rRNA from 1 species
AUUGAACGCUGGCGGCAUGCUUUACACAUGCAAGUCGAACGGCAGCGCGGGCUUCGGCCUGGCGGCGAGUGGCGAACGGGUGAGUAAUGCAUCGGAACGUGCCCAGUAGUGGGGGAUAGCCCGGCGAAAGCCGGAUUAAUACCGCAUACGACCUGAGGGUGAAAGCGGGGGACCGAAAGGCCUCGCGCUAUUGGAGCGGCCGAUGUCGGAUUAGCUAGUUGGUGGGGUAAAGGCUUACCAAGGCGACGAUCCGUAGCUGGUCUGAGAGGACGACCAGCCACACUGGGACUGAGACCAGGCCCAGACUCCUACGGGAGGCAGCAGUGGGGAAUUUUGGACAAUGGGGGCAACCCUGAUCCAGCCAUGCCGCGUGCGGGAAGAAGGCCUUCGGGUUGUAAACCGCUUUUGUUCGGGAAGAAAUCCUCUGGGCUAAUACCCCGGGGGGAUGACGGUACCGGAAGAAUAAGCACCGGCUAACUACGUG